UACAGAGGGUGCGAGCGUUACUCGGAAUUACUGGGCGUAAAGCGCGCGUAGGCGGCUUUUCAAGUCGAUUGUGAAAUCCCCGGGCUUAACCUGGGAACUGCAGUCGAGACUGUCUAGCUAGAGUAUGGGAGAGGGAAGUGGAAUUUCAGGUGUAGCGGUGAAAUGCGUAGAUAUUGGGAGGAACACCAGUGGCGAAGGCGGCUCACUGGACCGGAACUGACGCUGAGGCGCGAAAGCGUGGGGAGCAAACAGG
rnacentral:rRNA from 1 species